rnacentral:rRNA from 1 species
GGAAUCUGCCUAUUAGUGGGGGACAACAUCUCGAAAGGGAUGCUAAUACCGCAUACGUCCUACGGGAGAAAGCAGGGGAUCUUCGGACCUUGCGCUAAUAGAUGAGCCUAAGUCGGAUUAGCUAGUUGGUGGGGUAAAGGCCUACCAAGGCGACGAUCUGUAGCGGGUCUGAGAGGAUGAUCCGCCACACUGGGACUGAGACACGGCCCAGACUCCUACGGGAGGCAGCAGUGGGGAAUAUUGGACAAUGGGGGGAACCCUGAUCCAGCCAUGCCGCGUGUGUGAAGAAGGCCUUAUGGUUGUAAAGCACUUUAAGCGAGGAGGAGGCUACUCUAGUUAAUACCUAGGGAUAGUGGACGUUACUCGCAGAAUAAGCACCGGCUAACUCUGUGCCAGCAGCCGCGGUAAUACAGAGGGUGCGAGCGUUAAUCGGAUUUACUGGGCGUAAAGCGUGCGUAGGCGGCUUAUUAAGUCGGAUGUGAAAUCCCCGAGCUUAACUUGGGAAUUGCAUUCGAUACUGGUGAGCUAGAGUAUGGGAGAGGAUGGUAGAAUUCCAGGUGUAGCGGUGAAAUGCGUAGAGAUCUGGAGGAAUACCGAUGGCGAAGGCAGCCAUCUGGCCUAAUACUGACGCUGAGUACGAAAAGCAUGGGGAGCAAACAGGAUUAAGAUACCCUGGGUAGUCCAUGCCGGUAAACGAUGUCUACUAGCCGGUUGGGGCCUUUGAAGGCCUUUAGUGGCGC